AGGUCUUGACAUCCCGAUGAAAGCACUAGAGAUAGUGCCCCUCUUCGGAGCAUUGGAGACAGGUGGUGCAUGGUU
rnacentral:rRNA from 1 species